GGGGCGGGGCGCACGGCGGGGCGGGGCGCACGGCGGCGAGCGUUAUCUGGAGCUGACCGCGCGGCUCUUAAUCCCUGGCCUUGGGAAAGUGAAUUGGCCUGAAUAGCAAGGAGGAGAACUUGGGUGUGGAAAUACCGGAAUCUCACUCUAUUGCUCAGGCUGGAGUGCAGUGGCCACAAAGCGGGAGUUGAAGAAUGAAGUAAAAUGAAGGCGGGUAUUCAAAGAUGUCUAAUUCCAACUGCGGGUUUAAAGGAAUUCACCUAAGAAUACAUGGGAUUGGCACGAGGGAUACCAACACCGGAAUACGUGAUGAGAUGUGUGAAGAGCAUGGCAAUGGAUGCAAACUCUCUUUGUGUUUCUGGCUUUAAGCAGCUCUAUACUGUCAUGCUGUCCUACACUCAGCAGCAAUUUGUCACAAGUUUGGCGAAAUUCUUCCUACUCUUUUGAACUCCAGCCCAAUUUCCUUUCUGUCACUGCCCUAGGUCCUACUCUUCCAGAAGAAAAAGGGAAAACCGAACCUGAAUGUCCCCUAAAAGUGAAGAAAUGUCCACACUUCUAUGUGCAGAUUGUAGACCUUUGGAAUCUACAUUCAACAUUUGAUACUGUGUGUGACUCCUGAUGAACAUGCUGAAGAUACAUGAUGUCCAGUAAUUUUUACUGGGGAUAAUACCUACAACAUACAUAAGAUGGUGUUAUUAAAGUACAUUUAAAAUUACACAAGACAUUUUAAAAUUAUAUAAGUGUAUAUAACGAAUUUAGCACAAAUUUCAAUUACCUUGGCUUAAGAUGAUUUAGCUGUUUCGUAAGUUAACAAAGACCUACCAUUUACUUCCUAUUUAGUCUAUGGCUGAAUUUGGAAUUUUUGAAAAUCUUUUGAUAGCCUCUGAGAACUUACUAUUAUAUGUACUCAUUUACUUCCUAAUGAAAGCUAUUAACAAGAUUUAUUUUAGGAAGUUUAUCUCAGACAGGUUUAUGUCCUUAUGGAGCUUUCAAUCUUAAUUUCAAAGAUGAAAAGGAAAGUUGUGUGUGAAACAGCACAGAGUACUUUACAGCUUGUUCCAAGAGCUACAGGGAGCAGCAUGGACAGUGGAAACUCACAUAAAGUUCUUCAAAAUUUACUGUUUCUUCUGCUCCCUGAAAAUUGUAAUCAGUUCCUCUUUUCCUACUUAACAGGAAAAAUAAGUCCAAUGGAAUAGUCUGUUGAUUAAUAAAGUUCUAUCAUUUCUUCUUCAUGAAAUGACUAAUUUAACAAAUUAAAUCCUUCAUUUAUUAAGGUUUGUUUAUUACUUAUUUUUCCUCUAUUCCUUUCUCUGAGCUACAAAUCACAGAGAUUUAUAUUUACUUAAAAUUUUCUUAGCACUACCAAUUUGCCUAUUUAAUGAUCAUUUAUGGCCCAUCUGUUGUAUUACUUGGGAUAUUUUAAAUUGGAUUGAUAGAACUUUACAUUCAAUUAAGUAGAAAUACCAAUUCCAGAGAAGGACUCUUACUAUCUUUAUUUAGACUAUGAUUUGGCUCUGUGUCCUCACCCAAAUCUCAUCUCAAAUUGUAAUCUCCACCUGUCAGGGGAGGGAUCAGGUUGGAGGUGAUUGGAUCAUGAGGGUGGUUUCCCCCAUGCUGUUCUCAGGAUAUUGAGUAACUCAGGAUAGCUGAUGGUUUUAAAGUGUGGCACUUCCUCGUGCUUGCACUUCUCUCUCCUGCCACCAUGUGAAGAAGGGCCUUACUUUCCCUUUGCCUUCCACCAUGAUUGUAAGUUUUUUGAACCCUCUCCAGCCAUGUGGAACUAUGAGUCAAUUAAACCUCUUUCUUUUAUAAAUUA